AAAUCCUUAGUGUCAUUUGAUUAUUUUAACAAUAUAAUAGACGAAACAGCUAAGGAUGAAUCCUUGUUCAAGGGUUUUAAGGAUUCAGUCCUUGAGGACGUGGCAUCAUUCUUCAUUUUUUUCAAUAGAUUCUCCUCCCCUUUUUUGUCACUGACGGUGAUCACUCCAGCUACACGUAUCGCGCCGCAGCUUCACUGAUCCUUUAACCACCGAUUGACACUCCCCUCCGCCUCUAAGAAACUCCUCUUCCUCAGAAACCCCACUCCCAGCCCCACGUUCGUCGCCGUCCGGUUCCAGAAACCUUACUCCGAUCGGCUCAACGGAAUCCACGAACCAUGCCUUUUCUGCUUCGUUCAAGCGGCCUCACCUUCAAGCUCCACCCUCUCGUGAUGCUCAACAUCUCCGAUCACUUCACCAGGGUCAAAACUCAGCUCAACCCUCCAUCCGAUCAGCUCAACCAGGGUCAUCGCUUUCUUCCUCUUUAAGGUACUGAUCGAAUCAUCACCAUGGCUAAGAACUCAUUCAAGCUCUCUAAUCCUCUUGGACUAUGUGCCUACUGUGUUUGAUAAUUUUCAGCGCCAAUGUGAUUGUGGAUGGAAACACUAUCAACUUGGGAUUGUGGGAUACUGCAGGCAAGCUACCUUUUCAUUUCAUCAUUCUCUUUCUGAAUAUUUUGCUCUGCAGAGAGAGAGUGAGUCGUUUGUUUAUUUGUUUUGGACUCUGGAUGAAACAUGACAAGAAGACUACAAUAGACUAAGGUCUUUGAGCUAUCGAGGUUCAGAUGUCUUCUUACUUGCCUUCUCACAUUCAGUUUCGGUUAAGUUGAUGGUGUUUAUGUGAAUAAAUGGUUUAAAUUUGCAGCAAGCUUACUUCAAUUUUGUAAUACUUCAAAUACAAGUGCUUUGACAAAAGCAAUUUUGUAUAUAUUAAGGACUUUAAAUUGAAAUACA